rnacentral:rRNA from 1 species
GACGAACGCUGGCGGCGUGCCUAAUACAUGCAAGUAGAACGCUGAAGCUUGGUGCUUGCACCGAGCGGAUGAGUUGCGAACGGGUGAGUAACGCGUAGGUAACCUGCCUGGUAGCGGGGGAUAACUAUUGGAAACGAUAGCUAAUACCGCAUAAGAGUAGAUGUUGCAUGACAUUUGCUUAAAAGGUGCAAUUGCAUCACUACCAGAUGGACCUGCGUUGUAUUAGCUAGUUGGUGAGGUAACGGCUCACCAAGGCAACGAUACAUAGCCGACCUGAGAGGGUGAUCGGCCACACUGGGACUGAGACACGGCACAGACUCAUACGGGAGGCAGCCGUAGGGAAUCUUCGGCAAUGGACGGAAGUCUGAGCGAGAAACGCCGCGUGAGUGAAGAAGGUUUUCGGAUCGUAAAGCUCUGUUGUAAGAGAAGAAAGAGUGUGAGAGUGGAAAGUUCACACUGUGACGGUAUCUUACCAGAAAGGGACGGCUAACUACGUG